GUCGUACGAGAGUUUUGAACUCAAGUGGCGGACGGGUGAGUAACACGUAAGAAUUUGCCUUUAGGAGGGGGACAACAACUGGAAACGGUUGCUAAUACCCCAUAUGCUUUCGAGUGAAACGGUUUUUCCGCCUAAAGAGAAGCUUGCGGCUGAUUAGCUUGUUGGUAAGGUAAUGGCUUACCAAGGCGACGAUCAGUAUCUGGUUUGAGAGGACGAUCAGACACACUGGAACUGAGACACGGUCCAGACUCCUACGGGAGGCAGCAGUGGGGAAUUUUCCGCAAUGGGCGAAAGCCUGACGGAGUAAUACCGCGUGAGGGAUGAAUGCCUAUGGGUUGUAAACCUCUUUUUUCAGGGAGGAAUCAAUGACGUUACCUGAAGAAUAAGCAUCGGCUAACUCCGUGCCAGCAGCCGCGGUAAUACG
rnacentral:rRNA from 1 species